AGUCGUGAACGGCAGCACGGACUUCGGUCUGGUGGCGAGUGGCGAACGGGUGAGUAAUGUAUCGGAACGUGCCUAGUAGCGGUGAUAACUACGCGCGAAAGCGUAGCUAAUAAUGCAUACGCCCCCUGGGAAAGCGGGGACCUUUCGGGCCUCGCACUAUUAGAGCGGCCGAUAUCGGAUAGCUAGUUGGUGGGGGCAACGCUCGUACUCGCGAUCGAUCCGUAGCUGGUUUGAGAGGACGACCAGCCACACUGAGACCGAGACACGGCCCAGACUCCUACGGGAGGCAGCAGUGAAUUCUGGACAAUGGGGAAACUCCUGAUCCAGCCAUCCCGCGUGUGCGAUGAAGGCCUUCGGGUUGUAAAAGCACUUUUGGCAGGAAAGAAACGGACGGAUAAUACUCCUGUGCAACUGACGGUACCUGCAGAAUAAGCACCGGGCUAACCACGUGCCAGCAGCCGCGGUAAUACGUAGGUGCAAGCGUUAAUCGGAAUUACUGGGCGUAAAAGCGUGCGCAGGCGGUUCGGAAAGAAAGAUGUGAAAUCCCAGAGCUUAACUUUGGAACUGCAUUUUAACUGACCGAGCUAGAGUGUGUCAGAGGGAGGUGGAAUUCCGCGUGUAGCAGUGAAAUGCGUAGAUAUGCGAGGAACACCGAUGGCGAAGGCAGCCUCCUGGGAUAACACUGACGCUCAUGCACGAAAGCGUGGGGAGCAAACAGGAUUAGAUACCCUGUAGUCCACGCCCUAAACGAUGUCAACUAGCUGUUGGGGCCUUCGGGCCUUUGGAAGUAGCUAACGCGUGAAGUUGACCGCCUGGGAGUACGGUCGCAAGAUUAAAACUCAAAGGAAUUGACGGGGAUCGCACAAAGCGGUGGAUGAUGUGGAUUAAUUCGAUGCAACGCGAAAACCUUACCUACCCUGAUGUCUGGAAUCCCGAAGAGAUUUGGGAGUGCUCGCAAGAGAACCGAACACAGGUGCUGCAUGGCUGUCGUCAGCUCGUGUCGUGAGAUGUUGGGUUAAGUCCCCGCAACGAGCGCAACCCUUGUCAUUAGUUGCUGGGCGAAAGGGCACUUAUCGAGACUGCCGGUGACAAACCGAGGAAGGUGGGGAUGACGUCAAGUCCUCAUGGCCCUUAUGGGUAGGGCUUCACACGUCAUACAAUGGUCGGGACAGAGGGUCGCCAACUCGCGAGGGGGAGCCAAUCCCAGAAACCCGAUCGUAGUCCGGAUCGCAGUCUGCAACUCGACUGCGUGAAGUCGGAAUCGCUAGUAAUCGCGGAUCAGCAUGUCGCGGCGAAUACGUUCCCGGGUCUUGUACACACCGCCCGUCACACCAUGGGAGUGGGUUUUACCAGAAGUAGUUAGCCUAACCGUAAGGAGGGCGAUUACCAUUGCAGGAUUCAUGAUCGGGGUGAAGUCGUAACAAGGUAG
rnacentral:rRNA from 1 species